UUUUUGAUUAUGUUACAUGUUUGGUUCGACAAGUUUUUUUUUGUUUAUUUAUUGCGGCUCUGGAGGCUUUGCUUGGUUUGACAGGUGAUUGCCAACAUUGCCACUUAAAAAUUAAAUAAAAUUGAGGAAGUAGGAUUUCCUGCACUGGUCACAUUCGAUAGGGUCAGUGGUCGUUUUGAUGUCUUUUAGUGGAUUGUCUGAGGGACAUCUCUACGUCGAUCUAUGGACUUUCCCAUCCCUACGAUGAUGAUGGACGGCUGUCAUAGACACAGGAAGUCACUUUCUUUGACGGUUCUUGAAGGAUAACAUCAUGGAUUAAAUAAUCCAAUUUAAUCUUUCACAAUUAUGGGCAGUAUGCCCUAAUAUUUUGUUAAAAUGUAAAGUAAACAUUCAAAAGUAAUAAUUUAUCUUGGGAUUUUUCCCUUUUAACCUUACGAUGGGCGUCUUAUUGAUGUUCCCUAGUAUUUAUCUAAAUUUGCCUUAAAAAACGGUGAGUUAUUAUACCUUUUUUACGUGGUGUUGUGCCUCCUAGAUAAGGUUCUAAUUAGAUUUUGUUUGUUUUAGCUUUCCGCGUUUUUUUUUUUAUUUUCCUUUUUUUUGGAAGUUUUUUACUAUGGAUUAAUUUUUUACAUGGAACGAUUUCAUAUUGUAUCCAGUUUAACCUACAUUUGCUGCAAUUUUAUGCACCAUGACCUCUCAGCGGGGACCUGCUUUAUGGGACCAGCGGUGAAGUGUUCUGUGGUCUUCAUUAAUUAUAUUUAGCUAACUUUAGUUAUUUCAUUACUUUGGUAUGUAUUUCUAACUUAAUUCCAGUGAUGAUGCAAUAAUGACCAAAGGUAUUUUUAUGUUCUAAGAUAAUUAUUUCCAAAUUUGAGAAUUCCUCGGAAAAUAUAAAGAACAACUUUAGCUUACUGGC